AUUUUGCGUAAGCGAUUGUAGUGACAUCCUUUUAUUUUUAUCGGUAGGAAUGCUUCUAGGGGCGUAAUUUUAGUGUUUUAAACGGUGCCCUGAAAUAAUGCUUCCAUAAAAAUAAAAGAUAUAACGGAAAGCUCGACCCUUU
rnacentral:sRNA from 1 species